AUGGCGGCCGCUCCUGUCACGGUGGUGCCGCGCGUGAAGCUGGGCUCUCAGGGGAUGGAGGUCUCGGCGCAGGGCCUCGGCUGCAUGGGUAUGUCCGCCUUCUACGGCCCGCCCAAGCCCGAGCCCGACAUGGUCGCGCUCAUCCACCACGCCGUCGCCGCCGGCGUCACCCUUCUCGACUCCUCCGACAUCUACGGGCCGCACACCAACGAGAUCCUCCUCAGCAAGGCGCUGCUAGGGGGCGUGAGGGAGAGGGUAGAGCUGGCCACCAAGUUCGGCAUCUCGUUCGCGGACGGCAAGCGGGAGGUUCGCGGGGAUCCGGCCUACGUGCGGGCGGCGUGCGAGGGCAGCCUCAAGCGGCUCGGCGUCAGCUGCAUUGACCUUUACUACCAGCACCGCGUCGACACCAGGGUGCCUAUCGAGGUCACGGUUGGAGAACUCAAGAAGCUUGUCGAAGAAGGAAAAAUAAAAUACAUCGGAUUAUCUGAAGCAUCCGCAUCAACAAUCAGGAGGGCUCAUGCUGUUCAUCCUAUCACUGCAGUUCAGAUGGAAUGGUCACUGUGGUCUAGAGAUGUCGAAGAAGACAUAAUUCCAACUUGCAGAGAACUUGGAAUUGGAAUUGUUGCUUACAGCCCACUUGGUAGAGGAUUCUUCUCUAAAGGAGCAAAAUUGGUUGACUCACUAUCAGACCAGGACUUCCGCAAGAAUUUACCUAGAUUUCAACCAGAGAGUCUCGAGAAGAAUGCCCAGAUAUUUGAGCGUGUUGACGCGAUGGCGACAAGAAAAGGAUGCACACCAUCACAACUUGCCUUGGCUUGGGUUCACCACCAGGGUAGCGAUGUCUGCCCCAUACCUGGCACAACAAAAAUCGAUAAUUUCAACCAAAAUGUGGGAGCAUUAGCUGUGAAGCUCACACCAGAGGAAAUGGCUGAACUCGAAUCUUACGCGGCUGCAGGUGAUGUUCAGGGUGACAGGUACCCUCCAAUGGCUAGUACUUGGAAGGAGUCUGAGACCCCUCCAUUGUCAUCUUGGAAAGCUGAGUAG
rnacentral:rRNA from 1 species